rfam:Citrus sinensis cultivar Ridge Pineapple sweet orange scaffold00572_contig_6, whole genome shotgun sequence.
AUGCCAUGAUGAAGACACCUUCUAAGCAAUUCUUUGAAUCUUUCCCAAACCUCAUACAAACUUUUAUCUUCAAGUUGAUGGAAAGAAGUGAUCUCAUUCCGCAAUUU